rnacentral:misc_RNA from 1 species
CUGGACCAAACGGUACGCGUUUACAGUCGCGAUGAUCCGCUGACCGCCGCUGUUAUGGUGUUCAACGUGUUAUAUUUCAUAGCUGUGUUCGAGUUGGUGUUGUAUAGUUAUAUGGUGGCCAACAGGGAUUGGCUCUUUUCUUCAUAUACGCGCACCUUAUCGGACGAGGCAUUUCCCACAGCUGGCGGCAGCGGUGACGGCGAUUCGGACUUGGAGUACGACUAUGGGUCGUUUAUCGUUGACUAUUGACAUUUCCAUCCGGUCAACAACCCCAAGCCGAAGAUGAAAAUACCCCACAAAAACGAGUAGAUAAAAUAUUCGAUCAAAUGGAUAAGAAUCACGAUGACAAACUUACACUGGAAGAGUUCCGGGAGGGAAGCAAGGCGGAUCCGAGAAUUGUGCAAGCACUUUCGCUCGGUGGAGACCACAACAAUGCUGCAGCUCCCCAAGCAGCCACCACAUAAGUCUGUCGGAUGAGAGUUAUUUUCCCACGUAUUGACUUUGUUAUUUAUAUUUUUGUGUCUAAUUUUUUGUCUUUUACCUACAUUACAUUAUAACAAUAUUGUAAUUUUUCUUAUAAUAUACUCAAACAUUUUUAUGAAUUUCUAUGUAAAUUACUGUACUCAGAUUAUUAUAGUUAUACUUAAUAGUAAUAAUAAUAUAAGGUUAUAUUUUAUCCAUCUUAGUGGAUAGAGAAGUUUACAGCAUAAUAUGUAGUACUUACGUAUAUAAUUAGGUAUCAUCAGCGUUAUGCUUUUAUGCCUAUAUUAAUACACGAGUUAUACAUACAAUUAUAUUAAUAUACACAGUGAAACCUCUAAAUACCGCACACUCUCGGUUGCUGGAAUAUUGUUACUAAGAAAACGUGAGCUCUUGGGAGUUGUCUGUUUGGGUAGGUUUCACUGUAUAUAUCUAAAUUUUAUUCAUUUUUGUGUGAAAAAUAAAUCUAUAUAUUUGUAAGCACUUAUAUAGUUAUAAAUAUAAAUAUAUAUACAUUCUAUAUAUUCAACCGAUCUAUGCACAAUUAUUUUAAAGUUUUAAACCCAUUAAUCUUUGUAAUUUCGUUAUCUAUUUGUUUUAUUACCUAUACAAAUCACUGUAUAUUUUUACGGAGUACUCGGACUCAUUUUAAAUAAUUUAGUAGAUAUCAUGAACAUUUUUCUAGUCAUUAGUAAUAACAUAUUACGUAGCUUUGUUAAUAUACAUUUCGCUUUAAACCACUCAUGUAAACAUACAUUUUUUGUUUUUAGUUAAGCCCCCGGAAGUUUUUUUGCAUUUCAUAUAGUUAUAUUAAAAUUUAGUUUGAGUAAUAUUCUUAUAAAAAGUAAAUCCAUAAUGUUAAAAAAAAUUUUACUGUAAUACCAACUCAUUACAGUAUACUCGUAGCUUUACUAAAAUCAAAUGUGAGAGUUAAUAUUUUAGGUUCUGAUUAGCUUUAAGCUUACAAUUAAUAAUGUAUUUAUUUCAGGAAAAUACAAUAAACCUGUAUACUUAAAUAGAAUGGAAAUCAAACAUGGAUUGUACCUACUUAAAAACGUAUUUUUUUUCUUAUUGGAAUAAUCACGAAAUUUCGAACUAAAAUUAAAAUUACCACUAAAAACUGCGACUAAAUAUAAGCAAGCUAAAUGUUGGCCAUUUUUUGGGUAAGCCAUAGCUCAUCUAAAAUUAUUAUUGAAAUGCAAUUUCGCUUAAAAAUAUAAAGACGCUUAUUCCAGUAAUCCACCUGAACCUAUUUCACUUGUUCGCGUUUAUACUGUAUACUUUUUUUAUUAAAUUAUGACAUUAACUAUUUGCACAUAUAAUGCACAGUGAAAAUAUUUUAUUUAUAAUUUUAUUUUAACAAUCGUGAUUGGCGUAAUCAAAGAAGUCACCCAUUAUAGUGGCACUUCAAAAUAAACUAAAUAAUUUUUGUAUGUGUGUUUAAAUGAUAUUGCACGUCUACUUUAAUAUUAAAAAUUUGCUAAUAAAUACCGUUAGAUAGUUUUUAUGUACAUUAUUAUUACAUUUGUAAGAAUUUUUUUCAUCCUUUUAGUAACUACCUAUUGAUAUUAUUUUCAUAUGUUUUAAUAUUGUAAAUAUUCAUUUAUUGUUAUGCUUUUGGUUCUGAAGAUAAUGCCUUAUAUACUAAAUAUUAUUGUCUUCUAUUUUAUAUUAUCAGCUUAAAAAAUAAAAUAUUGUUUUGUUUGGAUUAA